UGCCUAAUACAUGCAAGUCGAGCGAACGGACGAGAAGCUUGCUUCUCUGAUGUUAGCGGCGGACGGGUGAGUAACACGUGGAUAACCUACCUAUAAGACUGGGAUAACUUCGGGAAACCGGAGCUAAUACCGGAUAAUAUUUUGAACCGCAUGGUUCAAAAGUGAAAGACGGUCUUGCUGUCACUUAUAGAUGGAUCCGCGCUGCAUUAGCUAGUUGGUAAGGUAACGGCUUACCAAGGCAACGAUGCAUAGCCGACCUGAGAGGGUGAUCGGCCACACUGGAACUGAGACACGGUCCAGACUCCUACGGGAGGCAGCAGUAGGGAAUCUUCCGCAAUGGGCGAAAGCCUGACGGAGCAACGCCGCGUGAGUGAUGAAGGUCUUCGGAUCGUAAAACUCUGUUAUUAGGGAAGAACAUAUGUGUAAGUAACUGUGCACAUCUUGACGGUACCUAAUCAGAAAGCCACGGCUAACUACGUGCCAGCAGCCGCGGUAAUACGUAGGUGGCAAGCGUUAUCCGGAAUUAUUGGGCGUAAAGCGCGCGUAGGCGGUUUUUUAAGUCUGAUGUGAAAGCCCACGGCUCAACCGUGGAGGGUCAUUGGAAACUGGAAAACUUGAGUGCAGAAGAGGAAAGUGGAAUUCCAUGUGUAGCGGUGAAAUGCGCAGAGAUAUGGAGGAACACCAGUGGCGAAGGCGACUUUCUGGUCUGUAACUGACGCUGAUGUGCGAAAGCGUGGGGAUCAAACAGGAUUAGAUACCCUGGUAGUCCACGCCGUAAACGAUGAGUGCUAAGUGUUAGGGGGUUUCCGCCCCUUAGUGCUGCAGCUAACGCAUUAAGCACUCCGCCUGGGGAGUACGACCGCAAGGUUGAAACUCAAAGGAAUUGACGGGGACCCGCACAAGCGGUGGAGCAUGUGGUUUAAUUCGAAGCAACGCGAAGAACCUUACCAAAUCUUGACAUCCUUUGACAACUCUAGAGAUAGAGCCUUCCCCUUCGGGGGACAAAGUGACAGGUGGUGCAUGGUUGUCGUCAGCUCGUGUCGUGAGAUGUUGGGUUAAGUCCCGCAACGAGCGCAACCCUUAAGCUUAGUUGCCAUCAUUAAGUUGGGCACUCUAAGUUGACUGCCGGUGACAAACCGGAGGAAGGUGGGGAUGACGUCAAAUCAUCAUGCCCCUUAUGAUUUGGGCUACACACGUGC
rnacentral:rRNA from 1 species